AGCGAACGUUUGCGGCGGGCUUAACACAUGCAAGUCGAACGAGAAUCCCUUCGGGGAGGAAAGUGGCGCACGGGUGCGUAACACGUGGAUAACCAACCCAUUGGUUUGGGACAACACCGGGAAACUGGUGCUAAUACCAGAUGUGUCGCAGCUGUCUUCAGGCGGUUGCGAGAAAGGCCCGCAAGGGUCGCCAACGGACGGGUCCGCGUCCCAUCAGCUAGUUGGUGAGGUAAUGGCUCACCAAGGCAAAGACGGGUAGCUGGUCUGAGAGGAUGAUCAGCCACACUGGAACUGAGACACGGUCCAGACUCCUACGGGAGGCAGCAGUGGGGAAUAUUGCGCAAUGGGCGAAAGCCUGACGCAGCCACGCCGCGUGAGCGAUGAAGGUCUUCGGAUCGUAAAGCUCUGUGGGGGGAGAAGAAGAAAGCCGGUGAAGAGCCGGCCCUGACGGUAUCCCCUUAGCAAGCACCGGCUAACUCCGUGCCAGCAGCCGCGGAAAGUA
rnacentral:rRNA from 1 species